GACGAACGCUGGCGGCGUGCUUAACACAUGCUAGUCGAACGGAAAGGCCCUGCUUUUGUGGGGUGCUCGAGUGGCGAACGGGUGAGUAACACGUGAGUAACCUGCCCUUGACUUUGGGAUAACUUCAGGAAACUGGGGCUAAUACCGGAUAGGAGCUCCUGCUGCAUGGUGGGGGUUGGAAAGUUUCGGCGGUUGGGGAUGGACUCGCGGCUUAUCAGCUUGUUGGUGGGGUAGUGGCUUACCAAGGCUUUGACGGGUAGCCGGCCUGAGAGGGUGACCGGCCACAUUGGGACUGAGAUACGGCCCAGACUCCUACGGGAGGCAGCAGUGGGGAAUAUUGCACAAUGGGCGGGAGCCUGAUGCAGCAACGCCGCGUGCGGGAUGACGGCCUUCGGGUUGUAAACCGCUUUCGCCUGUGACGAAGCGUGAGUGACGGUAAUGGGUAAAGAAGCACCGGCUAACUACGUG
rnacentral:rRNA from 1 species